UACGAGGGGGGCAAGCGUUGUCCGGAAUCACUGGGCGUAAAGGGCGCGUAGGCGGCUCAUGAAGGCUGUGGUGAAAGUCCGGGGCUCAACCUCGGAUCGGCCGUGGCGACUCGUGGGCUGGAGCACUGUAGAGGCGGGUGGAGUUCCGGGUGUAGCGGUGGAAUGCGUAGAGAUCCGGAAGAACACCAGUGGCGAAGGCGGCCCGCUGGGCAGUGGCUGACGCUGAGGCGCGACAGCGUGGGGAGCAAACAGG
rnacentral:rRNA from 1 species